rnacentral:tRNA from 1 species
GGCCCGUUAGUCUAGCGGUCAGGACGCCGGCCUCUCACGCCGGAAUCACGGGUUCAAUUCCCGUACGGGCUACCA